CGUGUAGGCGGCUUGGCAAGUCCGUUGUGAAAGCCCACAGCUUAACUGUGGAACUGCGACGGAAACUGCUUUGCUAGAGUGCGGGAGAGGAGAGUGGAAUUCCCAGUGUAGAGGUGAAAUUCGUAGAUACUGGGAGGAACACCGGUGGCGAAGGCGGCUCUCUGGACCGCUACUGACGCUGAGACGCGAAAGCUAGGGGAGCAAACG
rnacentral:rRNA from 1 species